UACGAAGGGGGCUAGCGUUGCUCGGAAUCACUGGGCGUAAAGGGUGCGUAGGCGGACAUUUAAGUCAGGGGUGAAAUCCCGGGGCUCAACCCCGGAACUGCCUUUGAUACUGGGUGUCUAGAGUAUGGAAGAGGUGAGUGGAAUUCCGAGUGUAGAGGUGAAAUUCGUAGAUAUUCGGAGGAACACCAGUGGCGAAGGCGGCUCACUGGUCCAUUACUGACGCUGAGGUGCGAAAGCGUGGGGAGCAAACAGG
rnacentral:rRNA from 1 species